rnacentral:tRNA from 1 species
CGGGGUGUAGCUCAGUUGGUAGAGCGCUCGUACGGGGUGCGAGAGGUUUCGCAGGUUCGAGUCCUGUCACCCCGA